rnacentral:lncRNA from 1 species
GCGGGGUUAAACAUGUUAGCGAGUUCCCAACCCUCCCCCUAACCUGGGACAUUGGUAUAACAUGUAUACUGUAUACUGUAUGAUAACCAGAAUAAGGAGAUGUGGUAUGAAUUUCAAUAAGACAACCAUCAACCGUAAACCAAGACAGGGAUCUCCAUGGAUGAAAAUUGAACGAUGGAGGAACUUCAAGUGAAGUGAUGUAAUUGUUAGUAACUGUACAUCC